UAGGGAAUCUUCCACAAUGGACGCAAGUCUGAUGGAGCAACGCCGCGUGAGUGAAGAAGGUCUUCGGAUCGUAAGGCUCUGUUGUUGGUGAAGAAGGAUAGAGGCAGUAACUGGUCUUUAUUUGACGGUAAUCAACCAGAAAGUCACGGCUAACUACGUGCCAGCAGCCGCGGUAAUACGUAGGUGGCAAGCGUUGUCCGGAUUUAUUGGGCGUAAAGCGAGCGCAGGCGGAAUGAUAAGUCUGAUGUGAAAGCCCACGGCUCAACCGUGGAACUGCAUCGGAAACUGUCAUUCUUGAGUGCAGAAGAGGAGAGUGGAACUCCAUGUGUAGCGGUGGAAUGCGUAGAUAUAUGGAAGAACACCAGUGGCGAAGGCGGCUCUCUGGUCUGCAACUGACGCUGAGGCUCGAAAGCAUGGGUAGCGAACAGGAUUAGAUACCCUGGUAGUCCAUGCCGUAAACGAUGAGCGCUAGGUGUUGGGG
rnacentral:rRNA from 1 species